CCAGAGAGUUUUGCAAAAUAGCAGUUUAUUCCAUCACUGCUUCAAAACUGAUAAAAGAACUUUGCAAUCACUUGCAUGCAUAUGAUUUCCUUAACCAUUUUAACUUGCUGUUUCUUUUCUCUUUAUAAAUAAACCUUUAGAUUUGGUUACUACAGCAGCGUGAGCGUUGGGUAAGAGCUGUGUUACAUAUUGACCUGGCUAUGUGGCUGGUCUCUUGACAUUAGAACACUUUGUUUGAUGAAAUUAGUUUUCAGUUAACCAUAAAGUCCAAUGUCUGGAUGGUGAGACAAGGGUUGGAAUGCCUAAGGAGACUGUAUGUUUGAUUUCUUGUUAACCAGUGUGGUGAGACAGAACUUUACUUUUGUUACUGGCUUGAUAAAUCUAAUGGUAGAAUAACCACCAGUUUGGGGUGAGUCUGCCCUAUUUCUCAGCAGUUUGUCCUGAAUCUGACAUCCUCAGCUGUGACCCACUGAGGCACAGUGACAAGUUUACCAACAGGAAUGUUGUAAGGGAAGAAUAAGAGGCAGCCAAAGCACUGCGCCUGACACAGAAGACGAUCUGCAGACAACAGAAGAUAUAUGUACAUAUGUCAAAAAUAUGCAGAGUAUGUCCCUAAAUCAUUUUGUACCUAUAAAUAUGGACAGAUUGAAAUGUACAAACAACUUUGCACAAAGUCACAGCUUUACAAAAGUCGAAAUCUAGCAGGAUUCAAGGGCACAUAUGGGGAAGACAUGAUGUGUUUUGCAGGAUAGAGUUACCAGUAAUAUACAUUUCCAUAUGCUACAAGCAGAAAAGUUGAAUGCAUAUAUUUAUAAAAGGGGGUUGAAGAGCUAAAUGAUUUAGCAGAAAGAGAAUAUGAAAUAAAAGAAGCAGCCCAAUUUAAUAGUAAGCACAGUAAUUAGAAUUUCUACUCUGAAUAUGACAGAAAAGAAAAUGUUAAUGAAAAGGGGAAUACCUAGGCUUUACUAACGCAUUGCUGAUGUAAAGUGAACAUUUAAAUGGGCACGAAUGUUGUGAAUGUUGGGCAUUUCUAUAGUUUGAUUUGUGUUAAAAUAUGAAUUAAAAUAUUCUGGAGUCCUAAAAAUGUGUAAGUACAAGUGUGUGCUUGAGCCUGUGAAAAAGAUCCUUUUUUAGGUUCUAAUGAAAAAUGUAAAUAAGAGCAAGUAACAUGGUCUUUUAUUUCAAUACAUUAGUUGGAUUUUCUUUCUGAUCUACCCUCUGAGGAUUCUUUUUUUCCAGUGCGGGAUUGACUAUGUACUGUAUAUUGUCUAACAUUUUUUAAAUUAAAACCAUAUGGAUGAAAUCAGUUUAUUGUCUUGCAGAUGUUGAAAUCCAGUCUUGUUUUAGUUUAGCUACUUACAUAGAAUUUAAAUGUCUCCUGUAUAUAUAUUUUGUAUCUUUGUAAUAAUUCACUAUAUUGCUUUUCAUUAGUGUCCUUUUUCUGUAAUUGUUGCUCAUUGUUUAUUAAAUUUCUAACCAUUCAACAACAGUUGCCACAUGCACAUGCCUGACUGCUCCUUUUAUUUUGUCUGUGCCACAAUUUGUAAAUGUUACGUUGCCCUAACAUUUGCAACAUAUGUAAGUUGUACAAAGGCUACUUUUCACUUGUAGUAGUAAAGAAAGACCUUUCCUUCCGGUAACCUUCCCCAGUAAUAAAACACAGAGCAAUUUGACUCUUAUUCGAGAUUA